AUGCACUAGAUGGGGAAUUAGCGAUGCCCUGUAACCUGCAAUCGCUACAGCAGGAUCGAAUUCCCGAGCGCGGGAUUAAAAGUGUUGGUAUGAACUUAAAAAGUGGUGUUGAGAAGUGGGUCUCACGCAACAGGAACCUGUGAACCUGGUCAGGAU
rnacentral:SRP_RNA from 1 species